GAUCUCUUCGGUACAGACUUGUUGUUAGUUACAACGGGUCUCUUACAUCACCUCAUGAAACAACCAAUUAUAAAAGAAAAAAAUGAUGAAAUGACUUUCUAUAAUAUUCCAUUGCCGCCUAUAGUUUUCCAUUCCCUUAUAAAUCACAAGUCACAAGUUCUUUCUCUAUCUCUCUCUCCUAAUUUACUCACCUUGAAAUUAACUCCAUAGCUUCUCUAAAGUUUCCAAUAAUCUAUAGACGGCUAUAGUCUCAUCCUUUCACAAACCCAAAAGGAUGGAGCAAUUACCCUCUCUAAGCUUGUACUUUUUAAUGAAUUGCAGUGGGAAGACGAUUAUCAGGGGACCCUUUGCUUUCUUCGCUGCUUUAUGCUGACGCAUGUGGGUGGUGUUGCUUAUUUUUGUCACCGUCGGAUCUGCGAUUGAGACCACUGUGUUUUAAAGAAUUUGUAAAAGGCACGUUCGUGACAAUUCCAGUAAUUGAAAUGCAUUGGGUGGAGAUGGUGACUUGGUGAACAAAAGUCUGAUUAUGAAAAGAAAAUAGAUGAUUAUGUGCGGUUUUGUUCAGCUACUUUGCUUCCCAUCACAAUUGACAAGUUUAUUAAUUGUUGUACUUUUUUUUAAUCAUAUCAAUUGCAAUACUAUGGCAGGGUUCUUGAAUGCUAAUUAAGUGUGUUUAUAUAACU